rnacentral:rRNA from 1 species
CACGUAGGCACCAAGCGUUGUCCGGAUUUAUUGGGCGUAAAGAGCUCGUAGGCGGUUCGGUAAGUCGGGUGUGAAAACUCUGGGCUCAACCCAGAGCCGCCACCCGAUACUGCUGUGACUUGAGUUCGGUAGGGGAGCGGGGAAUUCCUGGUGUAGCGGUGAAAUGCGUAGAGAUGCGGAGGAAUACCAGUGGCGAAGGCGGCCUUCUGGGACUCAACUGACGCUGAAGCGCGAAAGCAUGGGGAGCGAACGGG